AAGUCGUAACAAGGUUUCCGUAGGUGAACCUGCGGAAGGAUCAUUAUCGAAUAAACUUGAUCAGGUUGUUGCUGGCCUUUCAAAGGCAUGUGCACACUUGUCAUCUUUAUUUCUCCAACUGUGCACAUAUUGUAGACCAUGAAUGUUGUUGCUAAUAGCAGAUUUGAGAAGUGCUCAGCUUUCUCUUAUGCAGGUCUAUGUUAUCCAUCUUUUACACACUGUUUUAGAAUGUUUAUUUUGGGAAAUACAAAUGUACAA
rnacentral:misc_RNA from 1 species